rnacentral:rRNA from 1 species
UAAUACGGGGGGAGCAAGCGUUGUCCGGAAUCACUGGGCGUAAAGGGCGCGUAGGCGGAUUAUUAAGUCAGAAGUGAAAUCCACCCGCUUAACGGGUGAUCUGCUUUUGAAACUGAUAGUCUUGAAACAUGAAGAGGAGAAUGGAAUUCCAGGUGUAGCGGUGAAAUGCGUAGAUAUCUGGAAGAACACCGGUGGCGAAGGCGGUUCUCUGGUCAUGGUUUGACGCUAAAGCGCGAAAGCGCGGGGAGCGAACAGGAUUAGAUACCCUGGUAGUCCACGCCCUAAACGAUGAAUACUAGGUGUAGGAGGUAUCGACCCCUUCUGUGCCGCAGCUAACGCAUUAAGUAUUCCGCCUGGGGAGUACGAUCGCAAGGUUG